UGGGGAAUAUUGCACAAUGGGCGCAAGCCUGAUGCAGCCAUGCCGCGUGUAUGAAGAAGGCCUUCGGGUUGUAAAGUACUUUCAGUCGGAGGAAGGUGGUAAGGUUAAUAACCUUAUCAAUUGACGUUACCGACAGAAGAAGCACCGGCUAACUCCGUGCCAGCAGCCGCGGUAAUACGGAGGGUGCAAGCGUUAAUCGGAAUUACUGGGCGUAAAGCGCACGCAGGCGGUUGAUUGAGUCAGAUGUGAAAUCCCCGGGCUUAACCCGGGAAUUGCAUCCGAUACUGGUCAGCUAGAGUCUUGUAGAGGGGGGUAGAAUUCCAUGUGUAGCGGUGAAAUGCGUAGAUAUAUGGAGGAACACCAGUGGCGAAGGCGGCUCUCUGGUCUGUAACUGACGCUGAGGCUCGAAAGCGUGGGGAGCAAACAGG
rnacentral:rRNA from 1 species